GUGCUCACUUUGGCAGCACAUGUACUAAAAUUGGAACAAUACAAGAUUAGCAUGGCCCCUGUGUAAGGAUGACACACAAAUUCGUGAAACAUUCCAUAUUUUU